ACUUAAAUUGAAGAGUUUGAUCAUGGCUCAGAUUGAACGCUGGCGGCAGGCCUAACACAUGCAAGUCGAGCGGUAACACAGAGAGCUUGCUCUCGGGUGACGAGCGGCGGACGGGUGAGUAAUGUCUGGGAAACUGCCUGAUGGAGGGGGAUAACUACUGGAAACGGUAGCUAAUACCGCAUAACGUCGCAAGACCAAAGUGGGGGACCUUCGGGCCUCAUGCCAUCAGAUGUGCCCAGAUGGGAUUAGCUAGUAGGUGGGGUAAUGGCUCACCUAGGCGACGAUCCCUAGCUGGUCUGAGAGGAUGACCAGCCACACUGGAACUGAGACACGGUCCAGACUCCUACGGGAGGCAGCAGUGGGGAAUAUUGCACAAUGGGCGCAAGCCUGAUGCAGCCAUGCCGCGUGUAUGAAGAAGGCCUUCGGGUUGUAAAGUACUUUCAGCGAGGAGGAAGGCAUUAAGGUUAAUAACCUUGGUGAUUGACGUUACUCGCAGAAGAAGCACCGGCUAACUCCGUGCCAGCAGCCGCGGUAAUACGGAGGGUGCAAGCGUUAAUCGGAAUUACUGGGCGUAAAGCGCACGCAGGCGGUCUGUCAAGUCGGAUGUGAAAUCCCCGGGCUCAACCUGGGAACUGCAUUCGAAACUGGCAGGCUAGAGUCUUGUAGAGGGGGGUAGAAUUCCAGGUGUAGCGGUGAAAUGCGUAGAGAUCUGGAGGAAUACCGGUGGCGAAGGCGGCCCCCUGGACAAAGACUGACGCUCAGGUGCGAAAGCGUGGGGAGCAAACAGGAUUAGAUACCCUGGUAGUCCACGCCGUAAACGAUGUCGACUUGGAGGUUGUGCCCUUGAGGCGUGGCUUCCGGAGCUAACGCGUUAAGUCGACCGCCUGGGGAGUACGGCCGCAAGGUUAAAACUCAAAUGAAUUGACGGGGGCCCGCACAAGCGGUGGAGCAUGUGGUUUAAUUCGAUGCAACGCGAAGAACCUUACCUACUCUUGACAUCCAGAGAACUUAGCAGAGAUGCUUUGGUGCCUUCGGGAACUCUGAGACAGGUGCUGCAUGGCUGUCGUCAGCUCGUGUUGUGAAAUGUUGGGUUAAGUCCCGCAACGAGCGCAACCCUUAUCCUUUGUUGCCAGCGNCGGGAACUCAAAGGAGACUGCCAGUGAUAAACUGGAGGAAGGUGGGGAUGACGUCAAGUCAUCAUGGCCCUUACGAGUAGGGCUACACACGUGCUACAAUGGCAUAUACAAAGAGAAGCGACCUCGCGAGAGCAAGCGGACCUCAUAAAGUAUGUCGUAGUCCGGAUUGGAGUCUGCAACUCGACUCCAUGAAGUCGGAAUCGCUAGUAAUCGUAGAUCAGAAUGCUACGGUGAAUACGUUCCCGGGCCUUGUACACACCGCCCGUCACACCAUGGGAGUGGGUUGCAAAAGAAGUAGGUAGCUUAACCUUCGGGAGGGCGCUUACCACUUUGUGAUUCAUGACUGGGGUGAAGUCGUAACAAGGUAACCGUAGGGGAACCUGCGGUUGGAUCACCUCCUUACCUUAAAGAA
rnacentral:rRNA from 1 species